rnacentral:rRNA from 1 species
UGGGGAAUAUUGCACAAUGGGGGAAACCCGUGAUGCAGCGACGCCGCGUGAGCGAUGAAGUAUUUCGGUAUGUAAAGCUCUAUCAGCAGGGAAGAAAAUGACGGUACCUGACUAAGAAGCACCGGCUAAAUACGUGCC